GGCACCAAGCCCCUGUCUGCCCACCGGCCGGGCUUCUGGAGCACGGCCAACAAGGUGGUGCCACCAGCAGGGCGUCCCAGCCUCCAGGCCAGCCAGCUGGCCUCUCCGGGUCCCAGACACGAUCCUGCCACAGCGACACAGGGCCUUCCAGGUGGCAGGUGCCAAGCCGGGCCCGACAGAUGCUCCCUUCCUGUAGAGGGGCCUCGGCGGACGCACAAACAGGGUAGCGUGGUGAAUGAGGUAGAGGGGGAACCUGGGCUCGUCUGCGCAGGGCUUUGGGAAUGGAAGGCCGCGGAGCAGCGCUGGGGACGCGACGUUCCCCUUCAAAGCCACCUCGCCUGGUGCCCACCCGGCUGGGGGAAAGGUGGCCGUGGCCGCCCCGCCUGGACCCUGACCUACCUGGCAAAAGGGUGUGAGCUCGAGGUCUGGACCCGGCGAGGAAGGCCCAGGCUCCCCAGUCAGCGUGGUCUCGGCCGUCCCCUGCUGUCUCCCGGUGAGGAGAGUGGCCCCGAAGUCACCCUGCUCCAUGGCCGUCUGGCAGCCUCACUCUCUGGAGCCCUAGAGGCUUCCUGGGUCCCUUCUCCUGUUGCACGGGGCCCUCCCGACCCUUCUGCGGUCUGUCCCCUUUCACCCCCGUCUUCCCAAUGGCUUGAAGCAACCCCACGCCUUGGAGCCCCGACCUUACCACCCUCCUCUUCACCGGCACCAGAAUCGUCUCCUGAUUCCGGGCUGUUCCAGACGCAUCACACACUUUAUCCCCUUCCAUUUUCACCCCAGGGGAGGACACCAUUACCACCAGCUUACGACAGGAUGUCAAGCUGCAGAAGGAGAGGCCACCCAGCCAAGACCAGGCCAGCCGGUCCGCAGACCCCAGGGCCCGGCCUCCCCGACACAGCGCAGCAGCCUCUGCGGGGAAGGGGCCGCAGCCCCCUGGGCUCCCCGCCGCGUCCUCCCUCCGGCCCUCCCGUGGCGCUCUCAGCCAGUCCUGUGCGAAGCCCCGGCGCGCCCAGGCCCCGCCACCUGGGAAGGAGAGCCAGCCCCGUGACAGGCCGAGGCCCUGCCCAGCGACGCCCCAUGACGGCCGAGAAGCUGGGCCAGGCCGGGGGCCUGUGA
rnacentral:lncRNA from 1 species